rnacentral:ncRNA from 1 species
AUAAAUUCAUUGAAGUGGAAGAGUAGCUAUAUUGCCUAGUUUCAGAGAGUUGAGGAUGGUGGAAUCUCAAUACGAUGUCAUGUAGUGAAUGGACCAUUUAGAAGUAAGCCGAAAGUUUAAGUGAAAUCUUAAAUUAGUAGUACUUAACGGAGGCCACCCGUUAUAGUGGAUAGGACAUGUUAGUGUCUGAUUGAGAGAUAUGCUUUUGCAUAAUUUAGGUGGUACCGCGAAUAAUACCUUCGCCCUAAUU